CAGAUGAACGCGGGCGGCGUGCUUAAUACAUGCAAGUCGAGCGAACAGAUAAGGAGCUUGCUCCUUUGACGUAGCGGCGGACGGGUGAGUAACACGUGGGUAACCUACCUAUAAGACUGGGAUAACUUCGGGAAACCGGAGCUAAUACCGGAUAAUAUUUCGAACCGCAUGGUUCGAUAGUGAAAGAUGGUUUUGCUAUCACUUAUAGAUGGACCCGCGCCGUAUUAGCUAGUUGGUAAGGUAACGGCUUACCAAGGCGACGAUACGUAGCCGACCUGAGAGGGUGAUCGGCCACACUGGAACUGAGACACGGUCCAGACUCCUACGGGAGGCAGCAGUAGGGAAUCUUCCGCAAUGGGCGAAAGCCUGACGGAGCAACGCCGCGUGAGUGAUGAAGGUCUUCGGAUCGUAAAACUCUGUUAUUAGGGAAGAACAUACGUGUAAGUAACUGUGCACGUCUUGACGGUACCUAAUCAGAAAGCCACGGCUAACUACGUGCCAGCAGCCGCGGUAAUACGUAGGUGGCAAGCGUUAUCCGGAAUUAUUGGGCGUAAAGCGCGCGUAGGCGGUUUUUUAAGUCUGAUGUGAAAGCCCACGGCUCAACCGUGGAGGGUCAUUGGAAACUGGAAAACUUGAGUGCAGAAGAGGAAAGUGGAAUUCCAUGUGUAGCGGUGAAAUGCGCAGAGAUAUGGAGGAACACCAGUGGCGAAGGCGACUUUCUGGUCUGUAACUGACGCUGAUGUGCGAAAGCGUGGGGAUCAAACAGGAUUAGAUACCCUGGUAGUCCACGCCGUAAACGAUGAGUGCUAAGUGUUAGGGGGUUUCCGCCCCUUAGUGCUGCAGCUAACGCAUUAAGCACUCCGCCUGGAGACGCCCCUUGGG
rnacentral:rRNA from 2 species